AUACGUAGGUGGCGAGCGUUGUCCGGAAUUAUUGGGCGUAAAGCGCAUGUAGGCGGUGCCUUAAGUCUGUCGUGAAACUGCGGGGCCUAACCCCGUAUGGCGAUGGAAACUGUGGCACUUGAGUGCAGGAGAGGAAAGGGGAACUCCCAGUGUAGCGGUGAAAUGCGUAGAUAUUGGGAAGAACACCGGUGGCGAAGGCGCCUUUCUGGACUGUGUCUGACGCUGAGAUGCGAAAGCCAGGGUAGCGAACGGGAUUAGAUACCCCGGUAGUCCUGGCCGUAAACGAUGGGUACUAGGUGUGGGAGGUAUCGACCCCUUCCGUGCCGGAGUUAACGCAAUAAGUACCCCGCCUGGGGAGUACGGCCGCAAGGCUUAAACUCAAAUGAAUUGACGGGG
rnacentral:rRNA from 1 species